rnacentral:rRNA from 1 species
GAUGAACGCUGGCGGCGUGCCUAAUACAUGCAAGUCGAGCGAACAGACGAGGAGCUUGCUCCUCUGACGUUAGCGGCGGACGGGUGAGUAACACGUGGAUAGCCUACCUAUAAGACUGGGAUAACUUCGGGAAACCGGAGCUAAUACCGGAUAAUAUAUUGAACCGCAUGGUUCAAUAGUGAAAGACGGUUUUGCUGUCACUUAUAGAUGGAUCCGCGCCGCAUUAGCUAGUUGGUAAGGUAACGGCUUACCAAGGCAACGAUGCGUAGCCGACCUGAGAGGGUGAUCGGCCACACUGGAACUGAGACACGGUCCAGACUCCUACGGGAGGCAGCAGUAGGGAAUCUUCCGCAAUGGGCGAAAGCUUGACGGAGCAACGCCGCGUGAGUGAUGAAGGUCUUCGGAUCGUAAAACUCUGUUAUUAGGGAAGAACAAAUGUGUAAGUAACUAUGCACGUCUUGACGGUACCUAAGCAGAAAGCCACGGCUAACUACGU